rnacentral:rRNA from 1 species
UACGUAGGUGACAAGCGUUGUCCGGAUUUACUGGGCGUAAAGAGCGCGCAGGCGGUCGUUCAAGUCGAGUGUGAAAGCCCCCGGCUCAACUGGGGAGGGUCACUCGAUACUGAUCGACUUGAAGGCAGGAGAGGGAAGCGGAAUUCCCAGUGUAGAGGUGAAAUUCGUAGAUAUUGGGAAGAACACCGGUGGCGAAGGCGGCGACCUGGUCCGAUACUGACGCUGAGGCGCGAAAGCGUGGGGAGCAAACAGG